rnacentral:rRNA from 1 species
AGGGGCAGCGGGAUUGAAGCUUGCUUCAAUUGCCGGCGACCGGCGCACGGGUGAGUAACGCGUAUCCAACCUUCCGUACACUCAGGGAUAGCCUUUCGAAAGAAAGAUUAAUACCUGAUGGUAUGAUGAGAUUGCAUGAUAGCAUCAUUAAAGAUUUAUCGGUGUACGAUGGGGAUGCGUUCCAUUAGGUAGUAGGCGGGGUAACGGCCCACCUAGCCAACGAUGGAUAGGGGUUCUGAGAGGAAGGUCCCCCACAUUGGAACUGAGACACGGUCCAAACUCCUACGGGAGGCAGCAGUGAGGAAUAUUGGUCAAUGGACGAGAGUCUGAACCAGCCAAGUAGCGUGAAGGAUGAAGGUCCUACGGAUUGUAAACUUCUUUUAUAAGGGAAUAAACCCUCCCACGUGUGGGAGCUUGUAUGUACCUUAUGAAUAAGCAUCGGCUAACUCCGUGCCAGCAGCCGCGGUAAUACGGAGGAUGCGAGCGUUAUCCGGAUUUAUUGGGUUUAAAGGGAGCGCAGACGGGUCGUUAAGUCAGCUGUGAAAGUUUGGGGCUCAACCUUAAAAUUGCAGUUGAUACUGGCGUCCUUGAGUGCGGUUGAGGUGUGCGGAAUUCGUGGUGUAGCGGUGAAAUGCUUAGAUAUCACGAAGAACUCCGAUUGCGAAGGCAGCACACUAAUCCGUAACUGACGUUCAUACUCGAAAGUGUGGGUAUCAAACAGGAUUAGAUACCCUGGUAGUCCACACGGUAAACGAUGGAUACUCGCUGUUGGCGAUAUACUGUCAGCGGCUUAGCGAAAGCGUUAAGUAUCCCACCUGGGGAGU